rnacentral:rRNA from 1 species
CCCUUAGAUGUUCUGGGCCGCACGCGCGCUACACUGACGAAUGCAACGAGCUUAUAACCUUGGCCGAAAGGUCUGGGUAAUCUCCAAAUUUCGUCGUGAUGGGGAUAGAUUAUUGCAAUUAUUAAUCUUCAACGAGGAAUGCCUAGUAAGCGCAAGUCAUCAGCUUGCGUUGAUUACGUCCCUGCCCUUUGUACACACCGCCCGUCGCUCCUACCGAUUGAAUGGUCCGGUGAAGCGUUCGGACCGUGGCCUUUGGACGGUUCGCCGUCUGUUGGCUGCGGGAAGUUCGUUAAACCUUAUCACUUAGAGGAAGGACAAGUCGUAACA